UACGUAGGGUGCGAGCGUUGUCCGGAAUUAUUGGGCGUAAAGGGCUCGUAGGCGGUUUGUCGCGUCGGGAGUGAAAACACCGGGCUUAACUCGGUGCUUGCUUUCGAUACGGGCAGACUAGAGGCAUGCAGGGGAGAACGGAAUUCCUGGUGUAGCGGUGAAAUGCGUAGAUAUCUGGAGGAACACCGGUGGCGAAGGCGGCAUCCUGGACCAAUUCUGACGCUGAGGAGCGAAAGCCAGGGGAGCAAACGGG
rnacentral:rRNA from 1 species